rnacentral:rRNA from 1 species
GAAGGCAUCUUCAGCAGCUGGAAAGAACUUCGGUCAGGGAUGAGCUCGCGGCCUAUCAGCUAGUUGGUGAGGUAAAGGCUCACCAAGGCGUCGACGGGUAGCCGGCCUGAGAGGGUGACCGGCCACACUGGGACUGAGACACGGCCCAGACUCCUACGGGAGGCAGCAGUGGGGAAUAUUGCACAAUGUGGCGCAAGCCUGAUGCAGCAACGCCGCGUGAGGGACGACGGCCUUCGGGUUGUAAACCUCUUUUAGCAGGGAAGAAGCGAAAGUGACGGUACCUGCAGAAAAAGCACCGGCUAACUACGUGCCAGCAGCCGCGGUAAUACGUAGGGUGCAAGCCGUUAUCCGGAAUUAUUGGGCGUAAAGAGCUCGUAAGCGGUUUGUCGC